rnacentral:rRNA from 1 species
AACGAACGCUGGCGGCAGGCCUAACACAUGCAAGUCGAGCGAACCGCAAGGUUAGCGGCGGACGGGUUAGUAACGCGUGGGAACGUGCCCAAAGGUACGGAAUAGCCUCGGGAAACUGAGAGUAAUACCGUAUGUGCCCGAAAGGGGCAAGAUUUAUCGCCUUUGGAUCGGCCCGCGUUGGAUUAGGUAGUUUGUGGGGUAACGGCCUACCCAGCCGACGAUCCAUAGCUGGUUUGAGAGGAUGAUCAGCAACACUGGGACUGAGACACGACCCAGAAUCCUACGGGAGGCAGCAGUGGGGAAUCUUAGACAAUGGGGGAAACCCGGAUCUAGCCAUGCCGCGUGAGCGAUGAAGGCCUUAGGGUUGUAAAGCUCUUUCACCGGGGAAGAUAAUGACGGUACCCGGAGAAGAGGCCCCGGCUAACUCCGUGCCAGCAGCCGCAGUAACAC